UCCUAUUUUUAUUAUGAGUUGAUUUCAUACAGCUCAAUGCAAAUAUAUCAAAUAGUAAAUAUAAACUUAUAAAGUUUAACUUUUCAUAUUUAUUUUUAUAAAAGUUCAGUGAUAAUUGAUAUUUAUAUUUGCCCCUCUGGUUUGUUACUGGUAAAACAUUAUUUAUUUUUUAAUAAAAGAUAAAUGAAAUGACAUUUUUAUCAUCAUAAAUUUAUCUUUCUAAAGUCCUAAUUAUUAAAAUUAUGUAGAAAUAUUCUUCUAAAAAUUUUCAACAGUCUUUUUUUUCUUUCUACCAUCACAAAUAAUAUAAAAGGAGUAAAAAAAUUAAUUUACCUUAUUUGCUAAUUAGGAUUAAGUAUUUUACGUACGGUUAGCUACAUUUUUCUAACGGAUUCUAAUAAUAGAGAUAUAUUUGAAAACGUUGGGGCUAUUAUAGGAAUAAAUAUGAAAAAUUAAACUUUGCAAGGAUCUAUUUACUAUUCGAUAUGUUUACAGAGAACUAUAUGCAAUUAACCUUUUAUUAUUAUG
rnacentral:lncRNA from 1 species